rnacentral:misc_RNA from 1 species
AUACACAGUGCAAAAGUAUAUUGCCAAAACCGAACUCUCAUACCUGUAAAAACCUGCCUUUUUACGUAAAAUUCAUAAAAUUUUUCAGUUUAUUACUAAACCAAUCUACCCAUAAAAUUCAUUUUGGCAAUAUACUUUUGCACUGUGUAUAAUAUUAAUACAUCUCUAAAUAACGUUGAAUAUUGUACAACAUGCUGAUGCUGGACAGGAAGGAUUAGUAUACCGACCAAUGCUCUUCCACACCCCAUUCUCGUCCCAGUCGCACCAAAGCAAGCUCUGUACAUUACAUCUCAAUGUCUUCUAGAUCUGGUAGCGGAAAUCGAAGGAUGGCGGCAAUGCCAGUCAAUUGUGCCAAUUGCUCUCCUGAGACAUGCAUUGAUGAAAAUAUAUGAACAGUGCCCCCUGAAUCCUUCACUGAGCUGACUAGAUUGACGUACUUCUUCCUCGCAGGUAUAUCAGCAUUUCUGAAUAGAUCAUCUGUGAUAAGAAGAGUUUGGACAGCCAUGCGUUCAUGGGCAACCUCUACAUGCUUUGGUCCAUAGCAUGCACGAGCUGGAUCAUUUGAAAGCAUGUUAAAGAAAUCCUGAAGUGCUCGAACCUCUUGAGCUGCCUUAGUGUCUUUAAUCAUGUUCAUAA